AGCUUUGCGCAGUGGCAGUAUCGUAGCCAAUGAGGUUUAUCCGAGGCGCGACUAUUGCUAAUUGAAAAAUCCAAAUUACAAAUAA
rnacentral:snRNA from 1 species